GGUUAAGCGACUAAGCGUACACGGUGGAUGCCCUGGCAGUCAGAGGCGAUGAAGGACGUGCUAAUCUGCGAUAAGCGUCGGUAAGGUGAUAUGAACCGUUAUAACCGGCGAUUUCCGAAUGGGGAAACCCAGUGUGAUUCGUCACACUAUCAUUAACUAAAUCCAUAGGUUAAUGAGGCGAACCGGGGGAACUGAAACAUCUAAGUACCCCGAGGAAAAGAAAUCAACCGAGAUUCCCCCAGUAGCGGCGAGCGAACGGGGAGCAGCCCAGAGCCUGAAUCAGUGUGUGUGUUAGUGGAAGCGUCUGGAAAGGCGCGCGAUACAGGGUGACAGCCCCGUACACAAAAAUGCACAUGCUGUGAGCUCGAUGAGUAGGGCGGGACACGUGGUAUCCUGUCUGAAUAUGGGGGGACCAUCCUCCAAGGCUAAAUACUCCUGACUGACCGAUAGUGAACCAGUACCGUGAGGGAAAGGCGAAAAGAACCCCGGCGAGGGGAGUGAAAAAGAACCUGAAACCGUGUACGUACAAGCAGUGGGAGCACGCUUAGGCGUGUGACUGCGUACCUUUUGUAUAAUGGGUCAGCGACUUAUAUUCUGUAGCAAGGUUAACCGAAUAGGGGAGCCGAAGGGAAACCGAGUCUUAACUGGGCGUUAAGUUGCAGGGUAUAGACCCGAAACCCGGUGAUCUAGCCAUGGGCAGGUUGAAGGUUGGGUAACACUAACUGGAGGACCGAACCGACUAAUGUUGAAAAAUUAGCGGAUGACUUGUGGCUGGGGGUGAAAGGCCAAUCAAACCGGGAGAUAGCUGGUUCUCCCCGAAAGCUAUUUAGGUAGCGCCUCGUGAAUUCAUCUCCGGGGGUAGAGCACUGUUUCGGCAAGGGGGUCAUCCCGACUUACCAACCCGAUGCAAACUGCGAAUACCGGAGAAUGUUAUCACGGGAGACACACGGCGGGUGCUAACGUCCGUCGUGAAGAGGGAAACAACCCAGACCGCCAGCUAAGGUCCCAAAGUCAUGGUUAAGUGGGAAACGAUGUGGGAAGGCCCAGACAGCCAGGAUGUUGGCUUAGAAGCAGCCAUCAUUUAAAGAAAGCGUAAUAGCUCACUGGUCGAGUCGGCCUGCGCGGAAGAUGUAACGGGGCUAAACCAUGCACCGAAGCUGCGGCAGCGACGCUUAUGCGUUGUUGGGUAGGGGAGCGUUCUGUAAGCCUGUGAAGGUGUACUGUGAGGUAUGCUGGAGGUAUCAGAAGUGCGAAUGCUGACAUAAGUAACGAUAAAGCGGGUGAAAAGCCCGCUCGCCGGAAGACCAAGGGUUCCUGUCCAACGUUAAUCGGGGCAGGGUGAGUCGACCCCUAAGGCGAGGCCGAAAGGCGUAGUCGAUGGGAAACAGGUUAAUAUUCCUGUACUUGGUGUUACUGCGAAGGGGGGACGGAGAAGGCUAUGUUGGCCGGGCGACGGUUGUCCCGGUUUAAGCGUGUAGGCUGGUUUUCCAGGCAAAUCCGGAAAAUCAAGGCUGAGGCGUGAUGACGAGGCACUACGGUGCUGAAGCAACAAAUGCCCUGCUUCCAGGAAAAGCCUCUAAGCAUCAGGUAACAUCAAAUCGUACCCCAAACCGACACAGGUGGUCAGGUAGAGAAUACCAAGGCGCUUGAGAGAACUCGGGUGAAGGAACUAGGCAAAAUGGUGCCGUAACUUCGGGAGAAGGCACGCUGAUAUGUAGGUGAAGUCCCUCGCGGAUGGAGCUGAAAUCAGUCGAAGAUACCAGCUGGCUGCAACUGUUUAUUAAAAACACAGCACUGUGCAAACACGAAAGUGGACGUAUACGGUGUGACGCCUGCCCGGUGCCGGAAGGUUAAUUGAUGGGGUCAGCGCAAGCGAAGCUCUUGAUCGAAGCCCCGGUAAACGGCGGCCGUAACUAUAACGGUCCUAAGGUAGCGAAAUUCCUUGUCGGGUAAGUUCCGACCUGCACGAAUGGCGUAAUGAUGGCCAGGCUGUCUCCACCCGAGACUCAGUGAAAUUGAACUCGCUGUGAAGAUGCAGUGUACCCGCGGCAAGACGGAAAGACCCCGUGAACCUUUACUAUAGCUUGACACUGAACAUUGAGCCUUGAUGUGUAGGAUAGGUGGGAGGCUUUGAAGUGUGGACGCCAGUCUGCAUGGAGCCGACCUUGAAAUACCACCCUUUAAUGUUUGAUGUUCUAACGUGGACCCGUAAUCCGGGUUGCGGACAGUGUCUGGUGGGUAGUUUGACUGGGGCGGUCUCCUCCUAAAGAGUAACGGAGGAGCACGAAGGUUGGCUAAUCCUGGUCGGACAUCAGGAGGUUAGUGCAAUGGCAUAAGCCAGCUUGACUGCGAGCGUGACGGCGCGAGCAGGUGCGAAAGCAGGUCAUAGUGAUCCGGUGGUUCUGAAUGGAAGGGCCAUCGCUCAACGGAUAAAAGGUACUCCGGGGAUAACAGGCUGAUACCGCCCAAGAGUUCAUAUCGACGGCGGUGUUUGGCACCUCGAUGUCGGCUCAUCACAUCCUGGGGCUGAAGUAGGUCCCAAGGGUAUGGCUGUUCGCCAUUUAAAGUGGUACGCGAGCUGGGUUUAGAACGUCGUGAGACAGUUCGGUCCCUAUCUGCCGUGGGCGCUGGAGAACUGAGGGGGGCUGCUCCUAGUACGAGAGGACCGGAGUGGACGCAUCACUGGUGUUCGGGUUGUCAUGCCAAUGGCACUGCCCGGUAGCUAAAUGCGGAAGAGAUAAGUGCUGAAAGCAUCUAAGCACGAAACUUGCCCCGAGAUGAGUUCUCCCUGACUCCUUGAGAGUCCUGAAGGAACGUUGAAGACGACGACGUUGAUAGGCCGGGUGUGUAAGCGCAGCGAUGCGUUGAGCUAACCGGUACUAAUGAACCGUGAGGCUUAACCUU
rnacentral:rRNA from 1 species